GUGCCUAAUACAUGCAAGUCGAACGCGUUGGCCCAACUGAUUGAACGUGCUUGCACGGACUUGACGUUGGUUUACCAGCGAGUGGCGGACGGGUGAGUAACACGUAGGUAACCUGCCCCAAAGCGGGGGAUAACAUUUGGAAACAGAUGCUAAUACCGCAUAACAAUUUGAAUCGCAUGAUUCAAAUUUAAAAGAUGGCUUCGGCUAUCACUUUGGGAUGGACCUGCGGCGCAUUAGCUUGUUGGUAGGGUAACGGCCUACCAAGGCUGUGAUGCGUAGCCGAGUUGAGAGACUGAUCGGCCACAAUGGAACUGAGACACGGUCCAUACUCCUACGGGAGGCAGCAGUAGGGAAUCUUCCACAAUGGGCGCAAGCCUGAUGGAGCAACACCGCGUGAGUGAAGAAGGGUUUCGGCUCGUAAAGCUCUGUUGUUAGAGAAGAACGUGCGUGAGAGCAACUGUUCACGCAGUGACGGUAUCUAACCAGAAAGUCACGGCUAACUACGUGCCAGCAGCCGCGGUAAUACGUAGGUGGCAAGCGUUAUCCGGAUUUAUUGGGCGUAAAGCGAGCGCAGGCGGUUUGAUAAGUCUGAUGUGAAAGCCUUUGGCUUAACCAAAGAAGUGCAUCGGAAACUGUCAGACUUGAGUGCAGAAGAGGACAGUGGAACUCCAUGUGUAGCGGUGGAAUGCGUAGAUAUAUGGAAGAACACCAGUGGCGAAGGCGGCUGUCUGGUCUGCAACUGACGCUGAGGCUCGAAAGCAUGGGUAGCGAACAGGAUUAGAUACCCUGGUAGUCCAUGCCGUAAACGAUGAGUG
rnacentral:rRNA from 2 species